GUCGAGUCGGCCUGCGCGGAAGAUGUAACGGGGCUCAAACUGGAUACCGAAGCUGCGGCUGCAUACUAUGUAUGCGGGGUAGGGGAGCGUUGUGUAAGUCUGUGAAGGUGUGUUGAGAAGCAUGCUGGAGAUAUCACAAGUGCGAAUGCUGACGUGAGUAACGAUAAUGGGAGUGAAAAACUCCCACGCCGAAAGACCAAGGUUUCCUGCGCAACGCUAAUCGGCG
rnacentral:rRNA from 18 species